rnacentral:rRNA from 1 species
UGCAGUCGAGCGGUAGAGNGUGCUUGCACCUCUUGAGAGCGGCGGACGGGUGAGUAAUGCCUAGGAAUCUGCCUGGUAGUGGGGGAUAACGCUCGGAAACGGACGCUAAUACCGCAUACGUCCUACGGGAGAAAGCAGGGGACCUUCGGGCCUUGCGCUAUCAGAUGAGCCUAGGUCGGAUUAGCUAGUUGGUGAGGUAAUGGCUCACCAAGGCGACGAUCCGUAACUGGUCUGAGAGGAUGAUCAGUCACACUGGAACUGAGACACGGUCCAGACUCCUACGGGAGGCAGCAGUGGGGAAUAUUGGACAAUGGGCGAAAGCCUGAUCCAGCCAUGCCGCGUGUGUGAAGAAGGUCUUCGGAUUGUAAAGCACUUUAAGUUGGGAGGAAGGGCCAUUACCUAAUACGUGAUGGUUUUGACGUUACCGACAGAAUAAGCACCGGCUAACUCUGUGCCAGCAGCCGCGGUAAUACAGAGGGUGCAAGCGUUAAUCGGAAUUACUGGGCGUAAAGCGCGCGUAGGUGGUUCGUUAAGUUGGAUGUGAAAGCCCCGGGCUUAACCUGGGAACUGCAUUCAAAACUGACGAGCUAGAGUAUGGUAGAGGGUGGUGGAAUUUCCUGUGUAGCGGUGAAAUGCGUAGAUAUAGGAAGGAACACCAGUGGCGAAGGCGACCACCUGGACUGAUACUGACACUGAGGUGCGAAAGCGUGGGGAGCAAACAGGAUUAAAUACCCUGGUAGUCCACGCCGUAAACGAUGUCAACUAGCCGUUGGAGCCUUGAGCUCUUAGUGCCGCACCUACCGCAU